rnacentral:lncRNA from 10 species
AAAAAUUUUCCCAUUGCUGGUUUUCCCAUUUUCUUUUUGACCUUCCCACCUACCAGUCUUUGUUCCCCCAUCCUUGACCCUCUUCUCCAUGUGGAUACCGUUGAUACACUUUUAGGUUUGAAUAUCACCUUCCUUUUAGAAUGUUCCAUACCUUUAAGCAUUUGAUAAAAGCUAUGGUGGUUUCCCCAGAAAAAUGUUCAACAGGAAGUUUUGCCUACAUUUUUGGAUUCACAGACCUCAGUUCCUAUGGCAGUGUUCAUAUACGUAAGUUCAGCUGUUACGUGUUUACAACUCAAAUCCAAUGGCUACCAGUUUUCCCACUGGACCUCUCUGGAUUUAGCAAUCUCUAAAAUUGUAUUCACUUGAUUCUUAAAAAAAUAAAAAAGCUUAAAUGCAGAUAGGAUGUCACCCUGUUUAAAAUUUCUAGUGGCUGCUCUGGUCAUCAGUUUAAUAAAAAUUCCUUAGCAUGACCAAGAAGGCUCUUCACUACUUAAAAAUAAAGGCUGGGCACGUGGCUCAUGCCUGUAAUCCCAGCACUCUGGGAGGCCAAGGCAGUAGGAUCACUUGAGCCCAGGAAUUCGAAACCAGCCUGGACUACGUAGUGAGACUCCAUUUCUACUAAAAAAAUUAAUGGCUCAUCAUAAUCUAUUCAAAACUACUGAGUUUUAACCAUAAGAAGUCAAUUUUUGAAAACACAAAAGUAUUUUAAGCCUUUACAUUUGCUGUUCAUUUUCCAAAGAUACCCUUCCCAUCAGUAUGGACUCCACUCCUGGUUAUCCUCCAAGACUCAAAUGUCACCACUUUUGUAGAAUCUUCCUUAGCCACCUUCCAGUAGUUUGGUGUGCUUAUUUCUAUCCUAACAAUCAAUUUGGGGGUAUCUUUUAAAAUUGCAGAAAUUGUAUGGAAUUAGAGGAAACAAAGCCACGUUCAAAUUCUUAUAAAAAUUUUAAAGUGAGUGGCUUAAUUUCAUCUGUAAAGUGGGGACACCAUCUACCAUGUAGUUAUUAGAUGUGAAUACCAGAGAAAAUACAUGUAGAAAGUGCUAGUGCCUGCCACAUACUAUGUGCUCAAUAAAACUCAGUGUUUUAUAUGCCUAUCUCCAAUAAAUGGCAGAAAAGACUAACCUGUCUCAGAGUGCCUGGCUCAUAGCAAGUACCAUGUUCAUGUUUCAAAAAACAGAUGAAAGACAACAAGAAAGUCACAUUCUAAAGCUUUUCAAGAAAUAAAGAAGUACAAACAAAGUUUCUUCAUCAUUCUAUUUAUUACAUGUAUGAAUAUUAACAUCUCAUGGUGUCCAUCUAAGUCAAAACCAACAAAAGAAAAAAGUUAACCAUAUCUCAAGCAAACAUUCUUACAGAUUCCCGUUACUUAAAAUAGAAAUAUGUUCAUCUGCAUUAAAUCAUUUGACAAUUUGAAAAAGUCUUUAAAAAAAAAAUCACCUUUAGUACUUAAAUAUAUUUGUUAAUUGUUUGAUGGCAUCAGUGUCCAAGUUCAAGAAUAAAACUUUGCAUCAUUA